UACGUAGGGUGCGAGCGUUGUCCGGAAUUAUUGGGCGUAAAGAGCUUGUAGGCGGUUUGUCGCGUCUGCUGUGAAAAUCCGGGGCUCAACCCCGGACUUGCAGUGGGUACGGGCAGACUAGAGUGUGGUAGGGGAGACUGGAAUUCCUGGUGUAGCGGUGAAAUGCGCAGAUAUCAGGAGGAACACCGAUGGCGAAGGCAGGUCUCUAGGCCACUACUGACGCUGAGAAGCGAAAGCGUGGGGAGCGAACAGG
rnacentral:rRNA from 1 species